rnacentral:rRNA from 1 species
UACGAAGGUUGCAAGCGUUACUCGGAAUUACUAGGCGUAAAGGGCAGGUAGGUGGUUUGGUAAGUCUAUUGUGAAAGCUCCCGGCUUAACUGGGAGAGGCCAAUGGAUACUGCCAAGCUUGAGUAUAGGAGAGGUUACUGGAAUUCCCGGUGUAGCGGUGAAAUGCGCAGAUAUCGGGAGGAACACCAAUGGCGAAAGCAGGUAACUGGACUAUUACUGACACUCAACUGCGAAAGCUAGGGGA